rnacentral:rRNA from 1 species
AACGAACGCUGGCGGCGUGCUUAAUACAUGCAAGUCGAACGUGAUACAAGUAGCAAUAUUUGUUGAAAGUGGCGAACGGGUGAGUAAUACGUAAGCAAUCUACCUUUAAGAUUGGGAUAACCUUGCCAACGCGGGGCUAAUACCGGAUGUGAUCAUUUUAACGCAUGUUAUGAUGAUUAAAGGAGUGAUCCGCUUAAAGAUGAGCUUGCGUCCCAUUAGUUAGUUGGCGGGGUAACGGCCCACCAAGACCGCGAUGGGUAGCCGGCCUGAGAGGGUGGACGGCCACAUUGGGACUGAGAUACGGCCCAGACUCCUACGGGAGGCAGCAGUAGGGAAUUUUGCGCAAUGGACGAAAGUCUGACGCAGCAACGCCGCGUGAGGGAUGACGGCCUCGGUUGUAACGUACUCGUUGGAGUGGAAAAGGUAAGGACGAAUAAUUUAGUAUGGUACCGAUUCGUAGUAAGACACCGGCUAACUAACGUCGCCACGCAGCCGCGGUAGUACGUAGCGUG